rnacentral:lncRNA from 1 species
CCCACUCGAUCUCUUUAUCAGUAUCUAUAUCUAUUGUUAGAUAGGAUUGUUAUGCAGGUUACUCUUGAUGGGUAGGAGUCAAAGUCAGGUCGUUGGAUACGGGUCAAAUCUGUGGAUCGGUAUCAAUGGGUCAGUAGUAGGUUAAAAUGGGUCAUCAGGAGUCUUUGUUUUCGUCACAUGUUUUAUGUUUUUAAUUAGUCAUGAGUUAGUUGUGUUUAUGCAAGUAAACUUGGGAUGAAUGCAUGUGUUUUAGGAGAGUGUUACAUGGUUAGUUUAUUUUGGGCCUAUUUAAUGUGAGGUUUGCAAUGAAAAAGUGUGAGUUUUAAGCAGUAACAUUUCUGUUCAUGUGACCCCAAUAACAUCUUAAAUAGAAUAAAUUAAAAUUAAAAAACAACAUCAAAGUUUAAUUUGUAUCUAUGUAUAAUAAAGCUAUCCUUUUAGCAUGCUAAAUUAGUUGUCUAUCUUGGUUUUUUCUAAACAGAAAAGAUGCAAUAUAUAGCAUUGAAAGAAAAAAUUGGUGAUCUAACAAACAAACAAAGGUACGUAACAGUAAAAUCCCACACAUAGCAGAACUAGUGGUAGCUGCGGGUGGGAUAUGGGCAAAUUUUACCUCCGUCCCAGAGAGUAGAGAGACUGCUCCUAAUAGAGCCUCCCGCUUCAAAAUGUUUUUUAACGUGUACAUUAUAGUAAACAAAGUAACAUAAAAUGUGGUUAAAAGACUCAACGCGACAAAAAUAGGUGAUCUAACAGACUUUGUUAAUCUGGUUGAUAUGAUUCAUUUUAUCAUUUAUAUUCCCAGUUAGUAUUGGCAGUUAGUUAACUGUUCAAACAGUGGUAUCUUGUGAUGUUUUCAGGUGACUGGCGGUGGCAAUCCAGUUUGUGGCUUUUCGUUGCUUGUUUGGUGCUGAAUUUACUGGUAGUAUUAGAUAGUCUUGUGUACAUAUAAUGAGAGCAUGACUCAAUACCUUUUU